GGGCCGGUCGUCUAGCCUGGUCUUGGACAUCUGCCUUACACGCAGAAGGUCACAGGUUCGAAUCCUGUCCGGCCCA
rnacentral:tRNA from 1 species